rnacentral:tRNA from 1 species
GUGAGGGUAGUUCAAUUGGAAGAACACUACCCUUUCACGGUAGUGAUAUAAGUUCGAGCCUUAUUCCUGCCA